GGAAGGAGGCGAUAGAUUUUUACCAUGUUCAAAAGAGGACAUGUAGGACAUGUUGCUGUAAGGGACAUUGGUUUAAUUAUUAGCUCUCUUCCCCGUGCCUAGGAUCAGGCGGAUAAGGGCUCUGUGCAGGUGGGACUCCUUAGAAUCAUAGAGUUGGAAGAGACCACAAGGGCCAUCGAGUCCAACCCCCUGCCAAGCAGGAAACACCAUCAGAGCACUCCUGACAUAUGGUUGUCAAGCCUCUGCUUAAAGACCUCCAAAGAAGGAGACUCCACCACACUCCUUGGCAGCAAAUUCCACUGUCGAACAGCUCUUACUGUCAGGAAGUUCUUCCUAAUGUUUAGGUGGAAUCUUCUUUCUUGUAGUUUGGAUCCAUUGCUCCGUGUCCGCUUCUCUGGAGCAGCAGAAAACAACCUUUCUCCCUCCUCUAUGUGACAUCCUUUUAUAUAUUUGAACAUGGCUAUCAUAUCACCCCUUAACCUCCUCUUCUCCAGGCUGAACAUGCCCAGCUCCCUUAGCCGUUCCUCAUAAGGCAUCGUUUCCAGGCCUUUGACCAUUUUGGUUGCCCUCCUCUGGACACGUUCCAGUUUGUCAGUGUCCUUCUUGAACUGUGGUGCCCAGAACUGGACACAGUACUCCAGGUGAGGUCUGACCAGAGCAGAAUACAGUGGCACUAUUACUUCCCUUGAUCUAGAUGCUAUACUCCUAUUGAUGCAGCCCAGAGACAUCGAAACUGAGCUGGCUGUUGGUGGCAAGCUGUGGGAAUGGCAAUGGGCAUACCCAGUUAUUUCAAUGAAAGAGGGGUGAGAAUCCUCAGUCCUGUGAACAAAACACAGCCCUUGGUCCCUUUCUAUGCAACCCAGGUGUCAGGGUUGGAGUCAUACACAGGUCAGCACAAAAGGUUCUGUGCUGGGAGCCUGAAACCUCUGGCAUGACCUUCUCACAGAAGUUCUCCUUCAACUCCAUCCACUGUGGAAGUUUUCCCUGAGCCCAGGAGGAUCUUUGUUCCUUAUUAUGAAUUCCGAGGACGUCCCUCCUGCAGCUCUUUUUCUGCUAACUCACCCAAAGCAGCCGAGCUCGGGAACCUGAAGUGACCCCUCUCUCAAAACAAAAGCUCCUCUGAGCAACUGUGGGCAACUGAACAACAGCCUUUGAGCAAGGAACCGGAUUCUUUUGGAAAUUGCUCUCUGCCACAGUCAUCCUCUUCUGUUCUCUCUCCAGCCGUCUUUGCGCGUCAAUUUAUAAAGUGCAAAGGGAGUUCAUCGCAACAAAAGCCCUCCCAAGUUUCUAGAACACAAUCAUGCUUUUUUUAGCGGCGCCGCUUUUUCUGGUGGGAGAGCGACGCCUUUUCCUCCCACAGGAGUUUUAAAUGGUGUCUUCGACCUUCAUUCAUUCCCUCUCUCUGUGAGGUUUCCCCUCACAGUCUUCUUCAGAGGAUCAGAUCAAGGAUUCGGAGUCAGAAGGAGAAUUGAACUCAAUGCCAGCUCUGGAUGCAGGCCGAGUCCAUGGUAGCGGCGCCCUUUCAGCCUGAAGGUGUCAAACUGCCAUGUUCUGAGUCCGAGGACUCCAUGGCAGAAGCCACACAACAACCAGAGUCUCUCCCACACUCCAUUGGAGUAUAAGAUGGCUGGAGCAGGCUGGAGCCCUUUGACUGAAAAGGUACCUUUCAGUGAAGGUAAAGGUAAAGGGACCCCUGAAUAUUAGGUCCAGUCGUGACCGACUCUGGGGUUGCGGUGCUCAUCUCGCUUUACUGGCCGAGGGAGCCGGUGUACAGCUUCCGGGUCAUGUGGCCAGCAUGACUAAGCCUCUUCUGGUGAAACCAGAGCAGCGCACGGAAAUGCCGUUUACCUUCCCACCGGAGCGGUACCUAUUUAUCUACUUGAACUUUUGAUGUGCUUUUGAACUGCUAGAUUGGCAGGAGCAGGGACCAAGCAAUGGGAGCUCACCCCGUUGCGGGGAUUCAAACCGCUGACCUUCUGAUCAGCAAGUCCUAGGCUCUGUGGUUUAACCCACAGUGCCACCCGUGUCCAUUCAGUGAAGGAGGAGCUUGCAAUUAGGACAGAGGAAGGAAGGAAGGAAGGAAGGAGACUGUCACUGAAACAACAUCAACACUCUGCUCAUGUUUAGUAUUCAGCCUGAGUCAGGCACAAGGAUGCUUUUCCUCAGAGGAAGGUUCCAGAAGGACUGAGUUCAAGGCUCUCUGCAGCUACAUACUUCCAUGUGCUGCAUGUUGGUGUAAUGUGAACAAUGGGUUAAAUUACACAGUGCUUGGCUCAUGUACUGAGCCAGCACCCCCACACCCCCACGGAAGACCUCUGCAGGUGAUUGCAUGCUCACACUGGCGAGCGAUGGCACGCACUACAUCCCAUGCUGCAAAUUCAAACACGCGCAUGUGGUUGUUGGAAGGUCAGGCAAGAGAGCGCAUGCGCCUCCAGAUUCCUGCAGGGCGAGUGGGCAAGCUCAGCGGCGAAGGCUCUCGUCCUGGGCCCAGCCCCCAAGCCAGCGCCAUCAGAUCAGAUUGUGAGGACAGUUGCCUUCAGCCGAGAUUUUCCAAAGCAUAUCUGCAUGCAUCCAUUUCACAGAGGAGCAGAAACCCAUCAAUCCUGUUCUGUCUGUAAGCAGUACUCUUCUAUGAGUGAGCUCCAGACCUGUGAUUGGCCCGUGGGAGACCACCUGACUUUAGCAAAUGGGAAAUGAGAAUGGAGAGGUGCGACCUACUUCUAAAUGUGUCUUCAAGCCCCAAGGUAAACAUUGUGAACGCUCCAGUGAGAGGGCAAUGUGGUGGCAUCUUAUCUCCCUCCCCCUCCUGCUCCCAUUCCUGAUUUUCAUCUCAAUUCCGGCAGCCACAGAAAACCACCAGAGGUUGCAUCUCUAAGGGCCAAAAGCAGACGGCGUGUUUUUUAAAGCUACAAAAUGCUGCUUGGCGUGAUGUGACUGUUCUCUUCCAAGAAAGCUUUGAGGCUCAGAAUAAAAGAGACCUGUUUUUAGGAAUGGGGGGGGGGGCAGUCAGUUUCUUUUCAUUUCUCAUUUUCCCACCAUAAAGAUCAGUCUGCUACAUCUCUGCAACAGUUUGUGUUUGUGAAUUCUUAUCUUCUUCUUUUUUAUGUCCUCACAAAGAUUUGCCAACAUUUCAGUGCAAUUUUCUCCCAAUAGACACAUUUUCGUAUGCAGUUUUGCCUAUUGUACACAUUCCCCCAAAUAUAAUGGUAUUUUUGUGCAUUGUUUUUCACUAUUAUAUGCACUCUUAGGCACAGACUACCCUAGUGUAUGCACAUUGUGUCAAAUUACGUGGCUGGAGAUGUUCAUUGCAAAAUUCAGAGAAGUGUGAAUUUCAAAGGAUAGCUCUGUUUUAGUUUCCAUGAUGAUCAGAAAGUGCCAGUAGAUAAGUUUGCCUUUAAAUGAAAAUAGAAUCUAAUUUCUCCUCCAUCCCUGAUUUGCUGCCUUACUCUGGUCUGUCCAGCUGAGAAAAAAAACUAACUAAAAACACGUCCUGAACUUUUCUGAAUAGCCUCGAUUCCUCAGGCAGUGAAAUUCAGAAUGUGAAUUGAUUUUCUUUUUUUAAUAGGACAGCUAUUGUGUCAACGUAGAAACAUCACAUUAAUAAAAAAAAAGGCAUAUCAAAACAGUGGAAGGCAUAAAGAGAAAAAUAAAAUAAACACAUCGAUGUUAUCGAUCCCAGAGAAGGCUGGUUGAUGAGAUGCCGUGUGUGUGUUCUUCAAAAUGAUGACACCGGCAUACCACUUUGAAAACAUUUGCCAAGAAAACCUCACUGUGGUUCCACCUCUCUCUCACACUCCCCCCC